GUGCAGCCACCUAAUGUUGAAGCUUAUGUUCUGCCAAGGCUAGAGAUGCGCUUUGAAACUUUUGAAGAAGCAAAGAACUUCUACAACCUCUAUGCGAAGCAUGCGGGUUUUGCUAUCAGGGAAGGCUCCAUGUUUAAGACCAGAGCCUACCUUUAUUGCACGUGUUAUGGAGUCUAUCAUUCGAAGGUGUCUGAAGCAAAUAGACAGCGGAACAAAACGACAGCCAGGACUAACUGUGGGGCUAAAAUGGGGCUGAAGAUUGAAAAGGAUGGACCACUUGUCAUAAAAGAGAUAGUCUGGGAACACAACCACCGGCUACAACUCACUCCGCAAAUGCUUGUCUUCUUGCACUCCCACAAAAAAAACUUUGACAAAACAAUCUUGGAGUACGUCAAGUACCUGUAGUUCAAAGGCAUUGAACACGCGCAAAUCAUGAGCAUACGGGGCGGUGAUGACCCUGGUAGCUACUUCCUUGAAAUGAAUGCCAAAGACCUGAUUAACCUGAAAGCAAAAAAUUCAAGGAUGGAUGAUGUGGACGAUGUCCUAAAGACUGUCAACUUCUUUAGGGAGAUGAAAGCUAUAAACAGGGAAUUCUUCUAUGACAUGCAACUCGAUGAGUACGACAGAGUUAAGAACAUAUUCUGGGUGAAUGCAAGCUGCCGAGGGGCCUACCAGGACUUCGGUGACUGCAUAACAUUUGACACCACAUAUAAGACCAACAAGUACCAUAUGCCACUUGGGGUGUUUGUCGGUACUAACAAUCACUUCCAGACUACAUUCUUUGGUUUCACCCUGAUAAGAGAUGAGGAUGCAGAAUCAUUCAGAUGGCUGUUCAAGACAUUUUUGAGGUGCAUGAGAGGGAAGGCUCCUACAUGCAUCCUCAUAGACCAGUGCCCGGCAAUGGCUUUGGUGAUACCACAAUUUUUCAAGAACACAAUACACAGGCUGUGCCGCUGGCACAUUAUGAAGAAGUACAGGGAACACCUCGCAUACCUGUACUACCUGCACGAAGACUUCAAAGAAGAAUUCACAUCAAUCCUCAACUGGCCCCUCAUGCCAACUGAGUUUGAGGAUGCCCAAAAAGGACUCAUCGAUAGGUACAACCUCCAUGAUGAUGCCAUGAUGCUGGCCAUGUGGAACAAGCGUGAGAAAUGGAUAUCAGCCUACUUCAAAGAAAUUUUCUACGCCAAAAUGACAUCCACACAGCGAAGUGAGGGCAUGAACUAUGUGCUCAAGAAGAACUUUGUAAGUGAGAGACAAAACCUACACUGGUUUGUCAGCCAGGUAAACUCCUGCGUCAAAACCAGGAGGCAGACAGAGAACCAAGAGACAAUGAGUAACAUGGUAUAG
rnacentral:rRNA from 1 species